AUCCACUUAACCAACUAACCCUCUCUUUUCUACUGACCCCAAAAGAAUAAAGUCUUGAAUAAAAAAUCCUAGCACAAAAAUUAGAGGACUUGACACAACCACUUUUGCUCCAUGUAUGUACCAUAUGCUCCUGAAGAUGUGAGGAGUGAUGAGAAAUGGUAAAGGUCUUAUAAAUACCUAACCUUUCAUCUAAGGUAUCAAUCAUUUAUGGAUACUCAUUGUGUAAGCAACAUAAGUUACAUAACAAAGUCGUAAUAGAACACAAUAAGCAUUCAAACAUCUAGCGCAAUAUCAACAAAGAUAACAUAAAGAAAGAUUAUGCAUUCAAGCAAAAUGAAACAAAAAACAAAUCAAACACAAUCAUCCAAAACAAAUUAAAAUCAAUUGUUCAAGUUUAAACAUAGAUUAAACUACCUACUAGGAAUGACUAAAUGAAAUUAAUGUUCACUAAGGAGCUGCAAGAGAGAAACGACAUAGAUUAACAAUUUGUGAAUUGGUAUUUGAGCUGCUGAGAAGGCCUUACGAUUCGCGAACCUUGGGAAGUCGGAGGAUUUGCAAACUACACUCUCAACUAUGUUCAUUAUUCUGUAUUCCACAAUCACAUUCUUCUUUUUUGUUAUCACUAGUCAACUUCUUAAGGUUGGUCAGUAGUACCACCCGGGAAUGAAAGCAGAGACUCUGUAUACACCACCAUUUGGGAUCUUUCAAAGAAACAGUCACCAUAGGAGCGAUACUCUAGCAUUACUCCUUUGUCAUUAAACUUCACUAAUCCACCAUCACCAACUGUUCCUACUAUAUCACCACAAUUUGUAAAGUAUAUCGGGUUAAAACUCGGAGCUGGAUCAUAAGAAAAAUGAACAGUCUUAGUCCAAGAUGAAUGCACUUUGUAUUCUUGCAUCACCCAUAUCUCAAUCGUCUGCAUCUCCACUUUCCAUGCACUGAUAUGUCCGCAAAAUUCAAACAAAUCAUAAUCUAUAGAAGAUAAUGAAUAGUACAACUCCAACUCCAUACAAAAAUCAUCUGGCAAAGCUAUCUCUGACAUUCUCAUUUCCUUUAAAUCAAAGAAAGUAAUAAAAUUCUCACCAGUCUCAUAAUUACAGACCAACCAAUGAAUAGAACCAUUCAAAAACAACCCAACUAUGGGACCUUCAACAGAGUUAGCAGUUUUCCUAUAAGGCAAAUAAGCAGCAACCUCGAUUUGUUUCCACUUAUUAGCUCUCAAUGAAAAAAUCUCCAAGUUAACCGGACUAUAUACCGGAUCUAAGGUAACAAUGUAUUUAUAGGACCCCAAAACAACUAAGUAAUCAUCAGCUAUCGUGUCAUAUGCAAAACCACAAAGCAACAACUUGGAAGUAUUAUGAUUAGAGGCAAUAGGUAUUUUUCUGUGGAUACCAGUAGAUGGAUUCCAUAGGUAGAUGCUUCUGUGACAAUGCAAAAACAGAAAGCCUCUACAAGAACCUCCAAUUUGAAGACGAGAUCCUCGGGGACGCAAAAAACGAAGGCAUAGUGAAGAAGAAAAUGCAGUAUCAUCAUAAAGCGAUGCAUUAAAAUCUAUGGAUAGUGUUUUAGGAACAUCAUAAUAUAUGAAGAAAAGUUUAUGCGUGGUGGUAAAUUGAAAAUGUGAAAUUGCAAAAUGGGAAUCAUGAGAGAUGAGAGAACGCCAUGAUUUGCAUACGCACCUACAUCUGACUAGAGUCUUCGCCGGUAACCGCAAUAAGAUUUCCGUUAUCACUUCAUGAGGUAGAUGCACGCUCUUCUUCUUAUUCGCCAUCUUCUUACGGUGAAAUGAAAUCGAAAAGACCCGUUAAGAAGAAUUGGCCAAGAUUGAAGAAGUUACAUGAUGAUUUUCCAGAUUCACCCUUUUCCGAUUUUGUUUUAAUUUGCUACCGGCAUCCUCUAGGUUAGGGGUGGAAAUGAGUCACCUUCAACUUGGCUCGACUCGUUAAAAUUAGAUCAAUCUCAAAACUCAACUCAAGUUCGUUACAAACUUUUUUUUUUAGUUCGAAUUCGACUCGCUUCAAGCUCACGAGCAACUCGGUUCAGCUCA
rnacentral:lncRNA from 1 species